AGGAAGGAGGAAGCCGGAGCGGGCGGGCUCCCGCCCUAAGUUACCGUCUGCGGCCUCUCCCAGUCGGCUCCGGGCAGGCGCUGCGCGGCCUGUCGCGGUUCGCAUCUGAUGGAGAAGUGCAGGCGGGGUCCUCGUGCUCCAGCGGGUGCCGCUUUGCUCUUUCUGCCCUGUCCGCGGGACGAGCCGCAGAAUGCCGCGUCCCUCACCCUCCCCGUAGGGCUGCUGCGCGGCACCCGUCACAGCGCUCCGUGUCCUCACCGUGGAGAUGUGCUAAACGUUUGGGGUACGGGGAGACGCUGAGGUCAGCGGGUGUCUGGGAAACGCAGCAAGAGAUUCCGUGUGUCUAAGAGUGGUAGGAAGGAGAAUGAACGUUCUGAAUCCAGGUGCUCUCUGGUUCCCUCCAAAAGAUUCUGCUCUGCACUGUCAAAAAAGUAAAGCAUGGUGAAGGGGCCUGGGCACCCCUAAUGUGGGGAGUAACUGAGAGCUGGGACCGCUCAGCUGGAGAGGAGGAGGCUCGUGGGGGUGUCAUCCCCGUCCAUAAACCCUGACCCCCUCCCCUGACACAGCUCCAUGCCGUUCCCUCGGGCCCUGUCGCUGUCACACAGAGCAGAGCUCAGCGCUGCCCCUCCACUCCCUGUGAGAAGCUGCAGCCGCCAUGAGGCCUCCCCUCAGCUCCCCUGCUCUGGGCUGAGCAAACCAAAGAACUUCAGCUGCUCCUCGUACUCUCUGCCCUUCAGACCAUUCCCCAUCUUUGUAGCCCUCCUUUGGAUGGUCUCGUAGUUCCGUGUCCAUCUUAGAUUGUGUUGCCCAGAACUGCACUCAGUGCUGGAGGUGAGGCCGCAGAGCACAGCGGGACAGCCCCUUCCCUCAGCCGGCUAUCAGUGUGGGCCUGAUGCACCCCAGGUCCGACUCCACGUUGGACGAGGAGAACUCCAGAGGCAGAACUCCAGAGCUCAGCCGUGCUCUAAUCCUGUGACUACGUUUUAAGUUUGAGUUUUGCAUUUGAGGAAGAACUGCAGAAAUCUAGAAAUAAGCCUUAAAAAGCUGCCGACGCUUGUAUAGCAUGGGAAGUGGUAGAUGUUAAGUGUACUGGUGCUUCUGAGAGGUGGUGACACAGAGCUUCAGGAUGCUCAAUAGCCUCACAGAGACAGAUCUCCAGGGCAGACGGAUGUGUGCUGGCCCCACCUGAGAGCGACCUCACCACGAGGGGUCAUUUUGCCUGAACAAAGCCUUUUCUUUACUUUCCCCUCUCUCUUGCCAACCUCCGUCUAAAUAUGCUUCUGCCACUUCAGCGGUGAUUCUGGAUUAUCUGGAAUGUACACUGAAUUAAUCUCGUCUUAGAAAAGCAAUCAGAAGAGUAAUCUUUGACUCACUGGGCUGGCUCUGCUGAGCCCUUUGCAGGGAAGGAAUUACACCUCUGUCCUUCCUUGUGGGAAGCACACGGGGAUGUUCCCAUCUCUGCACUGCAUGCUAUUGCCAUGAUCGUUCUUCUGCCUGGGAUGCAGAAGGAUUCACCCUCUCUGGAAAACCUUCCUUUGGGCAUGUGCCACCUCCAGAGCAUGCUACAGCUGAGUUCAUUGCUCUACAGUAGAAGUUCAGCGGUGGAGUUGUUUUUGAAGACAGCCAGCUUCGUUCCAAGGCUUGUAGGCUCAUGGACUAACCCGGGUCAGGCAGCCAAAGGUCUCUUGUUCAGCCCCAGCAGGGCUGGCUGAUUGCUCAUGGCCUUCUUCAGUCAAGCUUGGAACACCUCCAAGGUUACAGAACCCGCAGCCUCUGCUUCAGUGCUUUUAUUUUCCCUUGUGUUGUAUCAACAUUUCCCCUUUCCUAACCUAGACUAACUGCCCUUUGUCAUACCCCAAUGUAACACACUGAGGAGCCUGGCUCCACCACCUCUUCACCUUCUCGGUGGGUAGCUGGAGACAGUAAUGAGAUCUUCUUAUCUUAAGGCCCUUUCUCCUCACAGUCUGUCUUGAUAGGCUCUUUUUGAUCCAGAGAAGAAUAUACUGAAUUUUUAUAAAACAUAGAGAUAUUUUUCAUAUCUUUCAAAUCUACCUGACCUCUGGUGGCCUACGUGGACACACCGAGCUGCCCUGGCCAAGGCAAAAUGUCCAUUAAUCCAGGCAGAGGGAGAGGCCACGUGUAAGAAGCUGUCCGGAAGGCAAUCCCCAUCCUUCAGCGACCCAUGGCAUAGCAGCAGAUUUCUUCCUCGAAGGACCGGUGCGUCUGGGUCUGGCUGACCCUGUGAUCCCUCUCGGCAGGGUUUGCCAGGGCGGUGAUGUGUUGGUGUAAAGGGCCUCACGCCGCAAAGCAUUCCACAGCGGCAUUCCAGUCUGACAAGGACAAAUAUGACCCUUCUCCAUAUGUCUGGUGAUGGACAGGCACUUCACUGCGUGGUGUGUGCACCAAGUUGUGAGGCCAGGAGCUUUCUGGCCUUUGGCAGCUGCUGUACACUGUCCCAGCACUUCUCAGCUUGUACUGUGAGGCUGGAUUUACGCUGCCUGUGCUACUCCACGUGGGCUGCAUUGGCUUGGUGUGUGCAUGCAAUGCAGUAAUGUGGACAGUCUUUGCAAAAGCCCUGCGACUGUCCUCCUCCUCAGCCUCUGCCUCUGUGACCACAACGGCCUCCAACUUCAUCUCUUCGGCCAUCCUGGGCAAGCUUCUCUUUGGGGAGACAUGGACACCACUGUGGUGGGUUGGCCUCACUGUGACGCUCUGUGGCCUUGUGCUGCUGCACACUGCUGCACCCCAGCCGACACUGCACAUGGUGGAGAAGAAGGGGUUGUGACAUCUCUCCUUUCUCCAUUUCCAGCUUGGAUAAUGCUUCAGCUAUUGCCACCUCCAGGUCCCAACCAGGUCCUCACACCAUGCACUUUCUCGGUCUCCUCAUUCUGUGCCAGAGCCUACUGAGUGCUGUCAGACCUGCCCAGCUCCCUUGCACCUUUCUCCAUCGGUCUGCAAAGUUGUGCAGGUUGCAUUUUCCAUGGUUGGCCAGGGCAGCCAUUCCGGGUGCCUGGUGGAGGUGUGGCAACAGUGACAACCUGAGGGAAAGCUGAUCAGUCUGAGUCAGUUCUCUAGAAACCAGAGCCAGAACUUAUCAGCCACCCCUCCUCUUCACACCCUGUGCUGAUGGAGCCUUGCCAGUGCCAGGACGGGAGGGAUAAAGUAAACAUAGUGGCUGUGGAAGGUGACCGUACGUUGGUACUUUUCCAUAAGAGGAACCAUCCCAAAAUGGAAAAGCAACCAGAACCAGGCACUGAAGGUUGUGGACAUUUCUGCCCUGCUGGUGGUGAUUUUCCUUGCUGCCUCUUGGAGAGGCCUCAUGCUUGCUCCAGGUUCCUAUUGUCUGGAAAGCGGUGGAGCAUUCCAUUAAUUCCUUUGGCUGCCUCUAUCACACACACCUUUUGACUUGCCAUUACGUCUGUUGCCUGUAAUUCCCAGUUUCCCAUUCCUGACGUGUUGCUCACUGUAAGGGGUUGCUUUUUCCUUUAAACUCUUAACCAGCACUGAUUUUUUAUUGCUAUUUCUGGUUAGUGUAUGUCAUACUGUAAUAUGGGGAGAACACCAUGCCAUCAGCCAGCCCUCUUCAUUAUGAGUGACCGUGAUGUACACUCAUCACUUGAGCUGACAGUUGCUUUAAGUAAAAAUGGUUUUUCUCAGGCAACAUUUUUUUUCACUUCUGGAUGGUGCUAUUUUCCAUUUGUGCAAUGUAAUUAAAUAAAUCUCUGGUUCCCUCUCGUGCUAAAUUUUGGGUAAGUGAUUACUCGUUGUUGCCAGAAUGAAAUGCCUGCCAGUAUGUUACACGUGGCAAGAAUCAUCAUUUACAAGGUGUUGGUUUCUUUCCCCUGCCUGCACGCACUUGUUUUCCAUGGUAAUUUUUGAUUGCAAUCCUAAUAAAGAAUCAUAAUGAUGCCUAAAAAUGUA